AUAAGCUAUGUACUAUUGAAGGAGCUUUAGCUGCUGCAAUUCUUAUCCUUCCUCCCUUCAGGUUUUCUUUAGUGUUGAAAUUGAUAUGGAGACGUGGAUGGAGAUUUGAGUCUUAGGAAUUUGGGAAGAACUCAAGUGACUCAGAAUGAAAAGACCUUGGCACAGACCUGUUAAGGAAACUCCUUAUAAAGGCCACCGGGGUUGGCUGAGUCAGAAUAUCAGCCACGUGGCAUGUCUCAUGGGGCAAGAGCUGUGCGCCCAUGGGAGCCCAGAGGAGGAGCACACUGAGGACCAACACCAG